rnacentral:rRNA from 1 species
AUGGCAAAAGUGCUAGAGUUUAGUCCAAAAUUACAUCAAUGGCAUUCAUUGGUUUCCACUCUAGUGUGCUGCAAAAGAAGAUGGGCAUCUGAUUCUGAAGAAAACAAGAGAAGAAAAGAAAUAAUGGGCAAGUUAUGUGCAUUAAAUUCAUGUGAUUUUAUUGAUUAUUUUGUUGUUGCAGAGGAGAGAAAGCAACUUGAAGUUUGCGAGGAAGGUAAUGCCGUAAUGCUCCUCACGUCUCCUUGGCAUCGGUUCAAUCAAAUUGUUUAUGACAUAGGGUGCCAUGAAUUCUCGGUAUUGAUGGUUUUAAAUUUUAAGAUUUAUGCUCGAAAGUCACAUGGGAAUGGACUGGGAAAUGAGAAUAAUGCAUAA